rnacentral:tRNA from 29 species
CGGAUGUAGCCAAGUGGAAUCAAGGCAGAAA